GGGGCUGUAGCUCAGCUGGGAGAGCGCCGCGUUCGCAAUGCGGAGGUCUGGGGUUCGAUCCCCCACAGCUCCA
rnacentral:tRNA from 2 species